rnacentral:rRNA from 1 species
UACGGAGGGAGCUAGCGUUGUUCGGAAUUACUGGGCGUAAAGCGCGCGUAGGCGGCCUUGUAAGUUAGAGGUGAAAGCCCGGGGCUCAACCCCGGAACUGCCUUUAAGACUGCAUCGCUUGAAUCCGGGAGAGGUGAGUGGAAUUCCGAGUGUAGAGGUGAAAUUCGUAGAUAUUCGGAAGAACACCAGUGGCGAAGGCGGCUCACUGGACUGGUAUUGACGCUGAGGUGCGAAAGCGUGGGGAGCAAACAGG